CCUGGUCCUCCAAAGCUUCAGACUGCAUCCUUCCAGAACAGGGGCGUUUUCCGACGUGACCGCCACGCGUCAUCACGCCGACAAAAUGACCCGUUACCAUGCGAUCCUCAGGCCGAAUUCACAUCCGCCGGCAUGUGAUGGAUCAUUUUCACUCUGUCUCUAGCAGCGGCGCCUCCUGUUUUUACCUGAGAUUUCUCAGAGGUAAAGAAGGCUCCAGUGG
rnacentral:lncRNA from 9 species